UACGUAGGGGGCAAGCGUUGUCCGGAAUCAUUGGGCGUAAAGCGCGCGUAGGCGGCCCGGUAAGUCCGUUGUGAAAGUCAAAGGCUCAACCUUUGAACGCCGAUGGAUACUGCCGGGCUAGAGUCCGGAAGAGGCGAGUGGAAUUCCUGGUGUAGCGGUGGAAUGCGCAGAUAUCAGGAGGAACACCAAUAGCGAAGGCAGCUCGCUGGGACGGUACUGACGCUGAGGCGCGAAAGCGUGGGGAGCGAAUGGG
rnacentral:rRNA from 1 species